rnacentral:rRNA from 1 species
GAUGAACGCUGGCGGCGUGCCUAAUACAUGCAAGUCGAGCGAACGGACGAGAAGCUUGCUUCUCUGAUGUUAGCGGCGGACGGGUGAGUAACACGUGGAUAACCUACCUAUAAGACUGGGAUAACUUCGGGAAACCGGAGCUAAUACCGGAUAAUAUUUUGAACCGCAUGGUUCAAAAGUGAAAGGCGGUUUUGCUGUCACUUAUAGCUGGAUCCGCGCUGCAUUAGCUAGUUGGUAAGGUAACGGCUUACCAAGGCAACGGUGGAUAGCCGACCUGGGAGGGGGGUGGCCCACACGGGAACUGAGACGCCGCCCUGGGUCCGACGGGAGGCACCAGCAGCGAAUGGUCGGCAAUGGGGGGAAUCCUGACGGAGGAGCGGCACGUGAGUGAUGAAGGGCCGCGGAUCGGAAAACGCUCUUAUGGGGGAAGAACACAUGUGUAAGUAACUGUGCACGUCUUGACGGUACCUGAACAAGAAGCAACGGCUAACUACGUG